rnacentral:rRNA from 1 species
AUACGUAGGUGGCGAGCGUUGUCCGGAAUUACUGGGCGUAAAGGAUGCGUAGGUGGAUACUUAAGUGGGAUGUGAAAUCCCCGGGCUCAACCCGGGAACUGCAUUCCAAACUGGGUAUCUAGAGUGCAGGAGAGGAAAGCGGAAUUCCUAGUGUAGCGGUGAAAUGCGUAGAUAUUAGGAGGAACACCAGUGGCGAAGGCGGGUAACUGGACUGCAACUGACGCUGAGGCGCGAAAGUGUGGGGAGCAAACAGGAUUAGAUACCCUGGUAGUCCACACUGUAAACGAUGAAUGCUAGGUGUAGGAGGUAUCGACCCCUUCUGUGCCGCAGUAAACACAGUAAGCAUUCCGCCUGGGGAGUACGGUCGCAAGAUUAAAACUCAAAGGAAUUGACGGGG